CGCACUACACACUGGCAUAAGUCGCUUUGGAUAAAAGCGUCUGCUAAAUGGCAAAUA
rfam:Salmo salar isolate Sally breed double haploid chromosome ssa25, whole genome shotgun sequence.